rnacentral:rRNA from 1 species
UAGUGGUGAAAGUGGCGAACGGGUGAGUAACACGUAGAUAACCUGCCCUGAAGCGGGGGAUAACGAUCGGAAACGGUCGCUAAUACCGCAUGAGUCCAUCGAAUCGGGAGAGAGAUGGAGAAAAUCACGGUGCUUCAGGAGGGGUCUGCGUCCGAUUAGCUAGUUGGCGAGGUAACGGCUCACCAAGGCGACGAUCGGUAGCUGGUCUGAGAGGACGAUCAGCCACACGGGAACUGAGACACGGUCCCGACUCCUACGGGGGGCAGCAGUGAGGAAUAUUGGGCAAUGGGCGGAAGCCUGACCCAGCAACGCCGCGUGGAGGAUGAAGGCCUUCGGGUCGUAAACUCCUUUUGUCGGGGAAGAGGAAGGACGGUACCCGGCGAAUAAGUCACGGCUAACUACGUGCCAGCAGCCGCGGUAAUACGUAGGUGACAAGCGUUAUCCGGAAUUACUGGGCGUAAAGCGCACGCAGGCGGCUGCUUAAGUCUGACGUAAAAUCUCCUGGCUUAACUGGGAGGGGUCGUUGGAAACUGAGCGGCUUGAGGCAGUGAGAGGGGUGUAGAAUUCCCGGUGUAGUGGUGGAAUGCGUAGAUAUCGGGA